CGGAUUGCAGGCUGAAAUUACGCCUGCAUGAAGCCGGAAUUGCUAGUAAUGGCAGGUCAGCAUACUGCCGUGAAUACGUUCCCGGGCCUUGUACACACCGCCCGUCACACCAUGAGAGUUGGGAAUACCCGAAGCCUGUGAGCUAACUGUAAAGAGGCAGCAGUCGAAGGUAGAAUCAAUGAUUGGGGUGAAGUCGUAACAAGGUAGC
rnacentral:rRNA from 1 species